UCGGUGAGUGACAACAGUGAACAUGGGCUGACUGUUGGCAGCGGUAUGUUCUUAGGCCGCCAUGACUAUGAGUUGGAGAGCAUUGAGCCGUGCAGUGUGUCGCUGGAGUUCCCGGAAAAGGGCAAUGUGGUUGAACUGCCCCAUAGCAGGAGGAGAGUUAGGUUUCUGUUGGAGGACAAUGGUGGGUCGGAGAUGGACAAGCGAGUGAGGGAGGAGCUUGAGGAGCUGUGGCUUGAGCGUGAAUCCGGAACCGCUUUCAUCAUGGGGCAUUCACAUGUUCAUGCGAGGCCUGGGUCGUCGUUUGUGAAGAAGAUAGCUAUCGACCUCGGUUAUAACUUUUUGAGGAGGAAUUGUCGUGGGCCGGAUGUGGCGCUGCGGGUUCCGCCGGCGUCGCUGCUGGAGGUAGGGAUGGUCUGUGUGUUGUAACUGGAAUGGAGUAUGGUAAGGCAGGAGUUUAGGGGAUAGUAUCCUUAUGAUGUCAG
rnacentral:misc_RNA from 1 species